AGAAGCAGAAAAUAAGAGGAAUGUAUUUGUGCUACAAAAGUAAUUGAAGUACCUUGGUAUUAAAGAAAACUGCUCUUUCCAGUCCUGUCAGAAGAGGGAAUAAUGAACAAGAAAAUCCAUGGGGACCAAAGGCUAUCUUCAUCAGCUUCCAGAAAAUUUAGUGCAGUGGGUCUCUAUGCAUCACUGCCCAACACUGGGCUCAUUAUAAAGUCUUUUCUAUACAAAGUAGCUUAUCUUUAACAAGUAAAUCCACUGAAGUUCACAGA